GACGAGGUGGCCGAGUGGUUAAGGCGAUGGACUGCUACUCACAGUCUACGCGUGGGUUCGAAUCCCACCCUCGUCG